rnacentral:rRNA from 1 species
AGGAUCAUUAUUGAAUAAACUUGCACAGGUUGUUGCUGACCUUCCCAAGUGGGGGGGGGUACGUGCACACUUGUCAUCUUUAUUUCUCCAACUGUGCACAUAUUGUAGACCCUGGGGAAGUCAUUGAAUUCAUUUCGAGUUGGGACUGCUGCGCUUCAUUGAAUUGAAGUCAGCUUUGCCUUGCAUUUUACCAGGUCUAUGUUUUUUCACAACCUCUUGUCAUGUUUAGAAUGUUGAAUCAGGUGCUUUUGUACCUAUAAAGUUAAAUAUACAACUUUCAGCAACGGAUCUCUUGGCUCUCGCAUCGAUGAAGAACGCAGCGAAAUGCGAUAAGUAAUGUGAAUUGCAGAAUUCAGUGAAUCAUCGAAUCUUUGAACGCACCUUGCGCUCCCUGGUAUUCCUAGGAGCAUGCCUGUUUGAGUGUCAUUUAAGUUCUCAACUGCACUUUUUUGGUGUGGCUUGGAUGUGGAGGUUUUCUGCAGGCUUAGGUCGGCUCCUCUAAAAUGCAUUAGUGGUAUCUGAGCAGAUAAAACCUUGGUGUGAUAAUUUAUCUAUGCCAAUUAGUAUGCUGCAAUAUAACAGAUUGUACUGCUUCCAAAUAAACAAAACUUGAUUGAAUAAUUUGACCUCAAAUCAGGUAGGACUACCCGCUGAACUUAAGCAUAUCAAUAAGCGGAGGAAAAGAAACUAACAAGGAUUCCCCUAGUAACUGCGAGUGAAGCGGGAAAAGCUCAAAUUUGAAAUCUGGCGGUUCUUUACUGUCCGAGUUGUAAUCUAGAGAAGUGUUACCUGUGCUGGACCGUGUACAAGUCUCCUGGAAUGGAGCAUCAUAGAGGGUGAGAAUCCCGUCUUUGACAUGGACUACCUGUACAUUAUGGUGCGCUCUCAAAGAGUCGAGUUGUUUGGGAAUGCAGCUCAAAAUGGGUGGUAAAUGCCAUCUAAAGCUAAAUAUUGGCGAGAGACCGAUAGCGAACAAGUACCGUGAGGGAAAGAUGAAAAGAACUUUGGAAAGAGAGUUAAACAGUACGUGAAAUUGCUGAAAGGGAAACGCUUGAAGUCAGUCGCGUUGGCUAGAAAUCAACCUUGCUCUUGCUUGGUGUACUUUCUGGUUUGACGGGUCAGCAUCAAUUUUGACCAUUGGAUAAAGUCAUUGGGAAUGUGGCAUCCUUGGAUGUGUUAUAGCCCUUUGUCGCAUACAGUGGUUGGGAUUGAGGAACUCAGCACGCCGCAAAGGCCGGGUUCGACCACGUUUC